rnacentral:rRNA from 1 species
AAAUUGAAGAGUUUGAUCAUGGCUCAGAUUGAACGCUGGCGGCAGGCCUAACACAUGCAAGUCGAACGGUAACAGGAAGCAGCUUGCUGCUUUGCUGACGAGUGGCGGACGGGUGAGUAAUGUCUGGGAAACUGCCYGAUGGAGGGGGAUAACUACUGGAAACGGUGGCUAAUACCGCAUAACGUCGCAAGACCAAAGAGGGGGACCUUCGGGCCUCUUGCCAUCAGAUGUGCCCAGAUGGGAUUAGCUUGUUGGUGAGGUAACGGCUCACCAAGGCGACGAUCCCUAGCUGGUCUGAGAGGAUGACCAGCCACACUGGAACUGAGACACGGUCCAGACUCCUACGGGAGGCAGCAGUGGGGAAUAUUGCAAUUGCA